UGGUGGGUGUUGAGAUGAGGAAUGGUGAAGAAACUAAAUGUGUUUUUCCCUUGACGAGUCUUCUUUGCGGUUUGGUGGGUUGAUUGAAAAGUUAAGGUCUUUUGAUCCUGUUUUGUGUUCUAAUUCUCUGUAGUUAAGGCUUUUUACUGAGAAAAUCUUUUGGGUGAUGCAGAUCUUUGAUAGUUUUCAGAGAAGUAUCAAUUUUUAUUGAAUUGCCUUUGUUGGUUUGUGAGGUUUGUUCCUCUGUUUCGCCGCCGCAGAAGGAGAGGUUUAUCCGAGGAAUAGGAAAGUUUGAUCUGCGGCAACGAGAUGGAAGAAGCUUGGUUUCGUCUGUGUUAUCUCUCUCAAACUAGAUUUGAUUUUGAAAUGGCUUGAGGAGAUGAGAAAAGAGGACGAGGAGAGGAAGGUUUAUAUAAAAGGAAGGACGAAGGGUGAGAGAAAAGAAGUAACUUCGAAAUUGUCAUUCACCCUCCAAAAACGACUACGUCAAUUAUGGCAGUUGAGCCGCUCAUUUUCUCUUUAAUUAUCAAUAGGGUGACACAAAGGGAUCAGCAAAAGGUGGGGAUGCAAAUUCAAAGAAAGAGGUCAAUCAAGCCAAAAUGGCCAGGUACAGACACCUGGUCUUUCCUAUACUCGAGUUCCUUCAAGAGCAUCAACUUUACCCUGAUGAGCAGAUCCUCAAGUUCAAGAUCGAGCUUCUGAACAAGACCAACAUGGUUGAUUACGCCAUGGACAUCCACAAGAGUCUCCACCACACAGAAGACGCUCCCCAAGGUAUAAUAAUCUCUGUGAAAGUUUGCCUCUUUCGUCUUUGUUGGUUGAUUGGUUUAUCAUGAAUGUUUCUGGUGAUAGAUAUGGAGGAAGCGGCUGCAUUGCUCGUGACGUUCCUAUUGAACCCUAAUGCUGUCCAGGAGCUAAGAGGUGAUAAGAAAUACAAUCUCCAGAUGCUGAAAGAACGUUACCAGAUUGGUCCAGACCAGAUUGAGGCGUUGAAUCAGUACGCCAAGUUUCAGUUUGAAUGUGGGAAUUAUUCAGGUGCUGCUGAUUAUCUUUCCAGUACAGGACUCUUUGCUCUAACCUUGAGAGAAGUAUGAGUGCCUUGUGGGGGAAGCUAGCAUCUGAGAUAUUGAUGCAGAACUGGGACAUUGCGCUUGAAGAGCUCAACCGUCUCAAGGAUAUUAUUGACUCAAAACUGCUGUUGGGUUGCAGAAGUCACGAUUCUGGUGUGAGCCGCUUGUUCCCAGAUGCUCGAGGAGACACUAUAUGUAAAGAACUCACACAGACACCGCAAUCUCAUUAAGUAUCUAAAAGACUAUAUUGACUUCAUUUCCACAAAAUAUCCUUUUUGGAAUCGAACUUCUGGAGCUGAUCAUUUCCUUGCCGCCUGCCAUGACUGGGCUCCAUCGGAGACACGGAAGCAUUUUUCCAAGACUAUAAGGGCGUUGUGUAACUCGGAUGUUAAAGAAGGCUUUGUCUUUGGAAAGGACACAUCUCUACCGGAGACAUACGUUAGAUAUCCCAAGAAACCACUAAGUAACAUCGGUGGCAAGUCUGCGUCCAAAAGGCCAACAGUAGCUUUCUUUGCUGGUCAACCCGGUCACGGGUACGUUAGGCCAAUACUACUCUCUUACUGGGGUGAACAACAAAGAUCCUGACCUGAAAAUUUUCGGGAAGCUUCUGAGGUCUAAAGGAAACAAGAACUAUCUUCAGUUCAUGAAGACGAGCAAAUACUAUUUUCUAUGGUUGUGUUCCAGUAAUCAUAUCUGAUAACUUUGUGCCACCUUUCUUCGAGGUUUUGAAGUGGGAGUCGUUUGCGGUUUUUGUGUUGGAGAAAGAUAUACCCAACUUGAAGAAGAUUUUGAUGUCUAUAUUGGAACGUAGGUAUAAGCAAUUGAAGAUGAGAGUGAAGAGAGUACAGAAGCAUUUUUUUGUGGCAUGUGAAGCCUGAGAAGUAUGAUAUGUUUCACGUGAUUCUUCAUUCUGUUUGGUUUAACCGAGUUUUCCAAAUUUCGGUUUAGAAGUUCUUUAUCAAACAAACAAUUCAUUUA